CUUGUAGGUGGCCAACUAAGUCAGACGUGAAAUCCCUCAGCUUAACUGGGGAACUGCUUCUGAUACUGGAUGGCUUGAGUUUGGGAGAGGGAUGCGGAAUUCCAGGUGUAGCGGUGAAAUGCGUAGAUAUCUGGAGGAACACCGGUGGCGAAGGCGGCAUCCUGGACCAACACUGACACUGAAAAGCGAAAGCCAGGGAGCAAACG
rnacentral:rRNA from 1 species